ACUCAAAUGAAUUGACGGGGACCCACACAAGCGGUGGAGCAUGGGGUUUAAUUCGAUAGUAAGCGGAGAACCUCACCUAGGUUUGACAUCUCUGGAAUUUCCCGGAAACGGGGAAGUGCCGCAAGGAACCAGAAGACAGGUGCUGCACGGUUGUCGUCAGCUCGUGCCUUGAGGUGUACUGUUAAGUCAGCGAACGAGCGCAACCCUCAUCCUGUGUUGUUUUUUCACAGGAGACUGCCGCCUCCAAGGCGGAGGAAGGUGGGGAUGACGUCAAAUCAGCGUGGCCCUUAUACCUAGGGCAACACCCGUGCUACAAUGGCCGGUACAAACCGUUGCGAACCCGCGAGGGGGAGCCAAUCGGAAAAAGCCGGUCUCAGUUCGGAUUGAAGUCUGCAACUCGACUUCAUGAAGUUGGAAUCGCUAGUAACCGUAAAUCAGCUACGUUACGGUGAAUAUGUUCCUGGGUCUUGUACACACCGCCCGU
rnacentral:rRNA from 1 species